rnacentral:tRNA from 1 species
GAAGGUGUAGCUUAGUGGUAGAGCACAUGCUUAGCAUGCCCAAGGUCCUGGGUUCGACCCUCAGUGCCUCCA